UACGUAGGGACCGAGCGUUGUCCGGAAUCAUUGGGCGUAAAGAGCGUGUAGGCGGCCUUUUAAGUCCUGCGUGAAAUCCUGCGGCUCAACCGCAGACGGUCGUGGGAAACUGGAAGGCUAGAGUGCGGGAGAGGAGAGUGGAAUUCCUGGUGUAGCGGUGAAAUGCGCAGAUAUCAGGAAGAACACCUAUGGCGAAGGCAGCUCUCUGGGACGGUACUGACGCUGAGACGCGAAAGCGUGGGGAGCGAACCGG
rnacentral:rRNA from 1 species